rnacentral:tRNA from 1 species
GCCCCUGUAGUCUAAUGGAUAGAAUUUCGGAUUCCGGUUCCGACGAUUUGGGUUCGAUUCCCAACGGGGGUACAA